AGAGCAACUAACCAGGAUUCCCCCAGUAACGGCGAGCGAAGCGGGAGCAGCUCGAGCAGUCAAUCUCUGGCGUGGAUCGCCAGCGAAUUGUGGCCGGGAGAGGCGGGUGCACCCGACGCGCCUCCGUCGAAGUUGACCUGGAAAGGCACGUCGGAGAGGGUGAUAGCCCCGUGCGGGGCGGAGGCGCCGAGGGCCGCUACCGUCUUCCGAGAGUCGGGUUGUUUGAGAUUGCAGCCCAAAGCGGGUGGUAAACUCCAUCUAAAGCCAAACAGCGGCACGAGACCGAUAGCGAACAAGUACCAUGAGGGAAAGGUGAAAAGCACUUUGGAAAGAGAGUUAAAGAGACCGCGAAACCGUUAGGAGGGAAACGCAUGCAGCCGGACUGGCCCUCGUCGGGUUCAGGGGGCGGCGGCAGCCUCCGCGGUGGCUGGUGGCACCCCUCCGGGGCCGCAGCUGCCGCGAGGUCUCCGCGCCCCUGCACUCCCGACGGUUCGGGUCGGCCAAGGGCGGUGGUGUCCUGGGCGAGGAGGGCGGUCGGGUAGGUGGUGCAGCCGACUCUCGGGUCGGAGGCGAACUUAUAGCCGGCCGUUCGGCACGUCCCGGGUCCGCCGAGGAGAGCGGUGGCUCGUUCCACCCCUGCAGCGCAGGCCCCGUUCGUCGGGGCCGGGGCGCUCCUGUCCGUUCGGCCUCCGUGCCGAGAGACUGUUCGCAGUGUCCGGCGUCGUGCGCGGGUCCGGGCGGGAGGUCGUCUCACGCCUUGCGCUGCGGUCGCUUGGCCAGCCGUCGGCUUCAUUCGA
rnacentral:rRNA from 1 species